CCUCCUGCAAAGAAGGAUGGUGAGAAGAAUGGCCAUUAUGCCAUCAACUAGGUGGUGACCCAAGAGUACACCAUUAAUAUUCACAAGUGUAUCCAUGGAGUGGGCUUCAAGAAGUGUGCCCCUCAGGCUCUUAAAGAGACCGGAAAUUUGCAAUGAAGGAGAUAGAAAACUCCAGAUAUGUGUAUUGAUACCAGGCUCAACAAAGCUGUCUGGGCCAAAGUAGUAAGGAAUGUCCAUACUGUGUCCAUGUGCAGUGGAUGGUCCAGAAAACAUAAUGAGGUUAGAAAUUCACCAAAUAAGCUCUAUACUUUGGUUAUAUACUUGUUACCACUUUCACAAAUCUACAGUCAGUGUGGAUGGGAACUAA
rnacentral:lncRNA from 1 species